UACAACAUAGCAUUAAUGCAUUGGAUCCCAAUAGAACUCUGCAGUUAAGCGUGUUGAGACUAGAGUAGUACUGGGAUGGGUGACCACCCGGGAAGUCCUAGUGUUUUAA
rnacentral:rRNA from 1 species